AUAGGUCGCGUCGCAGCAACCCAUAUUCUCACAAGGGCCCACCUGUCCGACCUUUUGUCCUCCUCGUGAGUUCCGGCCUCGCAUCGCCGCCGCCGCCGCCGCCGUAGCAACAAAACGCAAUUAGAACGCGAGCGAAGAUGGAUUCGACCUCUACAAGCCCGAGGGGAUUGCCACUAAUCACCAGCAACGGAGCGGCCAAGCAGUCCAACCGCGCCACGCUCAUUGGGAUUGUAAAUUGUGAUUUGUGCAUGGUUCCGGUUUAUUUAUGAGCUCCGACUUCAAUUCUUUCGUCCAGAAACAAUAUUGAGGUAUUUUUUACAACCUUAACACAUUUUUAAUGUUUAUCGUCAUUAGCUAUGUCUAAUCUAGUUUUGCUAGCUCAACUGAAUCAUUAAUCAUGAAUGCAGUCAAUACACUGGUCAUAUCUAUAUGAUGUUCAAUCAUUCAUGUUAGUAAUGACGUAAUCAUCAGCGGCUAUAUACUGUAGAUUAGCAGUUCUGCACGGGAGAUAUUUUUGACAACUGUAUUAAUAGCAGAGGAAUUAAAAAUAAAAGAGAGAAAAUGAAUGAUCUGAUGUGGAAUGCCGGGUGUUGAGCAUAUUUACCCAAAGCGGUAUAUAAAGGAAACUGCUUUUUGCAGCCACUCCCAUUCUUCUGGCCAUCGCCGAUCAUGCCUUUCGGGCAAACACACGAAGUAACUCCUUGCUCAUCCUUGCAGGAUUUUGAGUACGUGCAAGGGUUCAAUUCUCUGCACACAUCUAGGCCUAAUAAUAGUAAAUUGCAUGCAAUUAGGAGAUGUUUUCCAAAUGAAAAAUGAUUAGGCCGCUACUGGUUCAUUAUUAGAUGUUGUAAACAAGAUUUCGAACGUUCUCCCGGUACAUUGAACAAAUAAUAAUUUCCUGAUUAGAAAGACUGCACUUAAAAUGCUCUUCUGUGUGGUGAACAAAGCACUUUGUUUUAUGAUACCUUGCGGUUGGUUGUGGGUAGGGGCGCCUGCAUGAGAGAGAGAAUAUAUGAUCUUGGUCAGAUCAUCACGCAUUAUUACGAGUAACUAUUGCAGAAUUUUUUUAGAGAAGAAAUAUUACAGCGUAAUCCAGCCAUAUAUAGGAGAUGCAUACAAUAUCAUUUUAGCGUUUCAACCGGAAGAAAUAUAUCAAUUCAUAUUGACAUUUCUUUAAGUAAAAAGGGAACAAAGCUCCUAUCACCCAGGCAAUCCUAAGUUCAUGCAUAGUCACGUUAAAAGGAACAAAAUUCUUACUGUGGUAUUUAUUGGUAGUAGAAUCAAUUUAGACCUUUCAUCUUUUCUCAUCCAAUCAAACAUAAAAGUACCCAGGAAGAACCGUUUAAAAGCUUUUUUUUUUUUUGAGUUUUCCAACUUAUCUCAAAAUUGGUCUAGAAAUAACACGUGGUGAUUAAUAUGGUUGUUUGAACAGAAAUUCUAGAAUAAGUAGGAUUAUAUGCAAUCUAAAAAAAUAUCCCAUUAUCUUAAACAAAAGCAGUCGGAAAAAAUAUAUGGCAUGUAUUUACCAGGUGGCCGAUGGGAGUCAAUGCACCCUGUCCCUGUCCUGUAGCCAUCACCAGUCUUAUUAUUGGGGCAAGAGCAAGUAUAUCCUCCGGGAGUGUUAUGACAGAGUACGCUACAGUUGUUGUAAAUGAGAGACCGGCAUUCGUUGAUAUCUUCAUAAAUAGUGUGAAGCCACAUUGAGAAAGCAGAAAAAUACAGUUCUAUUCAUAGCAGUUAGCUAAGUUCUAUGGUAAUUGAAUUCUGCCAUGAUACAAACAGAAAGAAACUAUAACAAACUGUUUUCACUAGCUAGUGCAUAUUUUUUAGAUCACUGUGUUUAGAAGUAUCUACUAUUUACCUUGGCAGCCGCCUGCCUCGUAUGGAUUCCCGUUGUGUUGGUCGUACCCUGCUUUGCAUCUGCACACGUAGCCCUCUCCCAUGAACCUGUCCAUGCAUGAGCUCUCGUUGUUGCAGCGGUACUGUGUCUUGAAGCUGUUGUUCCGGGCUUGCUCACAGGUGGCGCGCCCAAUCACCCAGUCCAAGACCAUCCUUCGCUCACCCAAAGGCACCAGAACGUCUUCCAGAUGCACUGGCUUGCUGUCACCGCCGCCGGCUCUGAAGAUGUGCUCUUCUUGGUGGAGAUGCAUUGGCUUGCUGUUACCGCUGACUUUGAAGAUCUGCUCUUUUUGGUAGAGGAUGAAGGCUGCGCUGCAGGUGCCGGCCACGCUCGCCGAUGUCUUGUUGAACUCGAAGGUGACCUCCUGCGCGUCGUCCAACGGCAUGCCGUAGGCGUCGCAGCAGGCCGUCCCGGGGCACAAUCCGUCAGAGUUUACUCUGCCGUUGGUUGUGCAGCUUCCGUUAGUAGACCAACCAUGAUGGUGUAGCGAGCUGGUGAAGGUAGCAGUAAAGUUGGAGUAACAGCCGGUGGCGACGAGCGUGUUGCGCUUGGAGAAGAAGAACGGCGUGUCCGUCAAAUUCGUCGGCCCGAUUCCGGUGCUCCCCACGACCGGCCGGCCGUUGCGAUCGUAGCACAACCGGUAGAUGGGGCCUGCAAAUAUGACGACGAAACCUUCCUGCGAAGACACCUGAUCGAUUCGAAAUUUUUGAUGGCCAAUGCGGAGCAUGGCAGCACUGUCGUUUUUCCGGCAUGUUACCCUGAAGCCAGGGGCAGAUUUGCCUUUUAAGCCGAAGGGAUAAGGGACUUCGUCGCACGACAGGUUCUUCGUCGUCGUCAGCUGCGAGUUUCCCUCUAGAGGCGGCCACUGAUUCUCCCGUCCCCGGGAGAGCGUGACGUGAGGCAUCGCCGAGAAGACGGCGAGCGCCAGCACCAGUGGGGUGAGAGGCCAUGCAGCCACAGCAGGAUCAGCUGCAGCUGCAGCGGCCGGUGUGCUUGCUCUUCUGCACGGCAUGUCGUCGCGCCUUUGCUUGCUGUUCUCCUUCUCGGUGGUGCAUACAGCAUAGACGAGCGCCGAGAGAAGCUAUGUUGGGAGUGUGAACUGUGAAGGGGUCAUUGUCGCCGAAAGCGUGCUAAUUCUCUUGUGGCUACUGGCUACAUGUUGGUUUUAAAUUUUUAAUUGUUUCUCAGAUUAACCUGGAACUUCUAUGUAUUCUCAUGAGACUGAAAAAACUUUUACUCCCCCCAAUUUUUUUCAGAUGUUCUAUAAUACAAGACAUAUAUGCAAUUAACUAGCA